GCACAAGCGGUGGAGCAUGUGGUUUAAUUCGACGCAACGCGAAGAACCUUACCUGGGCUCGAAAUGUACAGGAAUCCGGUGGAAACAUCGGCGCCCAGCAAUGGGCCUGUAUAUAGGUGCUGCAUGGCUGUCGUCAGCUCGUGUCGUGAGAUGUUGGGUUAAGUCCCGCAACGAGCGCAACCCUUACCCCCAGUUGCCAUCAUUAAGUUGGGCACUCUGGUGGAACCGCCUCGGAUAACGGGGAGGAAGGUGGGGAUGACGUCAAGUCCUCAUGGCCUUUAUGUCCAGGGCUACACACGUGCUACAAUGGCCGGUACAAACCGUCGCAAAGCCGCGAGGUGGAGCUAAUCGGAAAAAGCCGGCCUCAGUUCGGAUUGGAGUCUGCAACUCGACUCCAUGAAGCUGGAAUCGCUAGUAAUCGCGGAUCAGAAUGCCGCGGUGAAUACGUUCCCGGGC
rnacentral:rRNA from 1 species